rnacentral:rRNA from 1 species
UAAGGAAUAUUGGUCAAUGGACGCAAGUCCGAACCAGCCAUGCCGCGUGAAGGAUGAAGGUCCUCUGGAUUGUAAACUUCUUUUAUCGGGGACGAAAACGGGAUUUUUAUCUCAAUUGACGGUACCAGAGGAAUAAGCACCGGCUAACUCCGUGCCAGCAGCCGCGGUAAUACGGAGGGUGCGAGCGUUAUCCGGAUUUACUGGGUUUAAAGGGUGCGUAGGUGGGCUUAUAAGUCAGUGGUGAAAUCUCCGAGCUUAACUUGGAAACUGCCGUUGUUACUAUAGGUCUUGAAUUAUCUGGAGGUAAGCGUAAUAUGUCAUGUAGCGGUGAAAUGCUUAGAUAUGACAUAGAACACCAAUUGCGAAGGCAGCUUACUACAUAUAAAUUGACGCUGCGGCACGAAAGCGUG